UCCCUGCUGGCUCAGCUGGCAGGGAAUCCACCUGCAAUGUGGAAGACCUGGGUUUGAUUCCUGGGUUGGGAA
rnacentral:tRNA from 1 species